GAUGAACGCUGGCGGCGUGCCUAAUACAUGCAAGUCGAGCGAACAGACGAGGAGCUUGCUCCUCUGACGUUAGCGGCGGACGGGUGAGUAACACGUGGAUAACCUACCUAUAAGACUGGGAUAACUUCGGGAAACCGGAGCUAAUACCGGAUAAUAUAUUGAACCGCAUGGUUCAAUAGUGAAAGACGGUUUUGCUGUCACUUAUAGAUGGAUCCGCGCCGCAUUAGCUAGUUGGUAAGGUAACGGCUUACGAAGGCAACGAUGCGUAGCCGACCUGAGAGGGGGAUCGGCCACCCUGGAACUGAGACACGGUCCAGACUCCUACGGGAGGCAGCAGUAGGGAAUCUUCCGCAAUGGGCGAAAGCUUUACGGAGCAACGCCGCGUGAGUUAUGAAGGUCUUCGGAUCGUAAAACUCUGUUAUUAGGGAAGAACAAAUGUGUAAGGAACUAUGCACGUCUUGACGGUACCUAAUCAGAAAGCCACGGCUAACUACGUG
rnacentral:rRNA from 1 species